rnacentral:lncRNA from 1 species
ACCACUCAAUUAAUCAUUUUGAUAUUAAAGUGAUAUCCAUCGUCUCCUUGCCAAGACAUCCGCGGGUAUUGUAACGCGUCAUAUAAACGGUGUGUUUCAUAUAUUCUUUGUAGUUGCCCAGUAUUGCGUCGUGUAAAUACAAUAUCACGUGUUUCCAAGUUUUCACCAACAAUCAGGAUUGCCACUUCAUCGAUUGUUGGAGCAUAAAAUGUACGUUCAUGUGUUCCAGCUGGUCUUUUAUUUGCUCUGAUCACAACGUUAUAGUCUUAACUUGGCAUGCGCUCUAAAGCAGUCUUGAACAGCCUGACCAAUGCAUGAUGUUCAUGAAUCAUUUGCUGCAGAUCUUGGAGAAUUGCUCUUUUCGUAGCUGUGUUGAUCCCUUGACGCCGGUCAAGUUGUUCUUCCAUAUUACCCAUGAAGUAUAUUUGCAAGAAUUUAUGCUGUGCAUCUUCUAUACGUUGCAAUGAUCCACGGCGAUGGUAAGUCUGGCCUUUAAUCUGUAAAGUCAAAACCAUAGUUAUAGUUAGACUUUCUUUUAUAUAUAUAGAUAAGAUUACCUUAAAUGUCGGAUUAUAUCUGUGUUCUUCGAUAAUUUCCGCCGCAAAUGAAGUCAUUUGGAAACAGACAUUGUCUUUUUGAGUGUUCGCUAGAAAAUGUCGUUAUUCUAGUGUUUCGCCAUAAAGCACUAAGACAGCACAAACCAGGCGUUUCACCAGCAAACUUCAAUGCUCCACAAUGCUGGCAAGCAACGUCCAUUGGACCAAUGCAAACUAAACGAUGCAAGCUGUAGUCGACGGUGCAAUCAUACAGAAACGCUGCUCGAUUCAAAUCAAUACUUGAACCAUUUCUUCUUGCACUUCGAAGAUUAUUCCUCUGUUCAUCUGUA